CAAUAGCGUAUAUUAAAGUUGUUGCAGUUAAAAAGCUCGUAGUUGGAUUUGUGGCGUAUGUGUGUUCCGGGCACUUGUUGUCUGAGUAACCUGCUGUUGCCAUCCUUGGGUGGAACCUGUGUGGCAUUAGGUUGUCGUGCAGGGGAUGCCCAUCAUUUACUGUGAAAAAAUUAGAGUGUUCAAAGCAGGCUUAUGCCGUUGAAUAUAUUAGCAUGGAACAAUGAGAUAGGACUUUUUUGCUAUUUUGUUGGUUUGCGCAAAGAGGUAAUGAUUAAUAGGGACAGUUGGGGGUAUUCGUAUUCCAUUGUCAGAGGUGAAAUUCUUGGAUUUUUGGAAGACGAACUACUGCGAAAGCAUUUACCAAGGAUGUUUUCAUUAA
rnacentral:rRNA from 1 species